UACGUGUGGAGCAAGCGUUUUUCGGAAUUAUUGGGCAUAAAGGGCGCGUAGGUGGAGUGUCGUGUCCGUGGUGAAAUCCCCCGGCUUAACCGGGGAAUUGCCGCGGAAACUGGCAUUCUAGAGUGAAACAGGGGUGAGUGGAACUCUGGGUGUAGCGGUGAAAUGCGUAGAUAUCCAGGGGAACGCCGGUGGCGAAAGCGGCUCACUGGGUUUUAACUGACACUGAGGCGCGAAAGCGUGGGGAGCAAACAGG
rnacentral:rRNA from 1 species